rnacentral:rRNA from 1 species
GGAGGGCAAGUCUGGUGCCAGCAUCCGCGGUAAUUCCAGCUCCAAGAGUGUAUUUGAAAGUUGUUGUGGUUAAAAAGCUCGUAGUUGAAAUUAGAUUAUUUGUCCUGAGUCCAAUAAGAAAUUAUUGUUCUCAUUUCGGGACGGUGAUCAGAAGUUUAAAAUAGGAAAUAAUGAAUAAAAAUAUUGUAGAAUUAGUUAGCGGAAAUACGAAAGGAAAUAAACUAACUAUCCGGAAGCUUAGGCUGAUGGAAAUUUAAAUGAGAUUCGCUUUGAAUAAAUUAGAGUGUUCAAAACAAGCUUUAAGCUUGAAUAUAUUAGCAUGGUACGACGAUUAUAGAGUGCAACUUUUAUGAUGAUUAAAAGGGACAGUUGGAGUAAUUAUUAUUGUGUGGGAAGAGGUGAAAUUCUAUGAUCCAUGCAAGAAUGACUAAUGCGAAGGCAUUUUACUAGAAUGUUUUCAUUAAUCAAGAACUAAGGAUAUGGGAGCCAAGAUGAUUAGAUACCGUUGUAGUCAUAUCUGUAAACUAUGUUGAUUUAGGAUAAGAAGUUGUUAUACGUAUGACUCUUCUUGCACUGUACGAGAAAUCAAAAUAUCCAAACUCCAGGGGGAUUAUGGACUCAAGUCUGAAACUUAAAAGAAUUGACGGAAGGGCACCACCAGGUGUGGAGCUUGUGGCUUAAUUUGACUCAACACGGGGAAACUUACUAGGUCAGGAAAUUUAAAGGAUUGACAGAUUGAUAGCUCUUUCAUGAUAGAAUUAGUAGUGGUGCAUGGCCGUUUUUAGUUGGUGUUUUGAAAUGUCUGGUUAAUUCUGAUAACGAACGAGACCUCAGUUUAUUAAAUAGCGUUGAGGUGGGAACGAUUUAAGACAAGUAUACCAAAUGUAUGUUUGGGUCAGAAAGUCUAUGUUUAUACUUAUAAAGCUUCUUAGAAAUACAAUUCAUGUUUAAAUGAAUGGAAGAGAGACAAUAACAGGUCUGUGAUGCCCUUAGAUGUUCUAGGCUGCACGCGUGUUACAAUGAAAUGAACAAUGAGUUUUCGAGUCUUAAGAGACUUAGGGAAUCUUGCAAACAAUUUCGUGAUGGGGAUUGUGUUUUGCAAUUAUCGCACAUGAACGAGGAAUACCUUGUAUUAGUAAUGUAAUCAACAAACUGAGAAUAAGUCCCUGCCCUUUGUACACACCGCCCGUCGCUGCUACCGACGGAAUUUGGAGAUGAGGACUUAAGACGUAGGAAAGGAUGGUAAUAUGUAAUGUAGCUAUUUAGUGAUAUGUAAAAAUAACAUUUUGAUGAAAUUUGUUCGAAUCUUGUAAUUUGAAGGAAGCAGAAGUCGUAACAAGGUUCC